UAUUUGUGGACAGAGGUGUUUUUACGAGCUUAGUUUAAAAGGUUAUAUAUGAACCAGGUCGUUGCAACCCAUCUCCAAACCCCGAGGGACUAAUACUGGGACAAUAUUAAAUUCCGCGAUCUAUGAUGUUUGGGCUGAUGGCUGUGGGAGCUGGUUUCUCUCCACGGAGGUCCUUGUGUGUGGAUGCGACAUACUGGGACAGUAUAUGAUCAUUUUUCAUGAUGAAAAACAAACGCAUGUAUUGAUCUAUUAGCUUACGGUUUGGUGAAAUGGAAGUUACGAGCUUACUUUAUAGACUUGAUAUGUUGGGUUCCUCUCUGAAGCCUCAGGGAUUUCACUGUAGGUAGCAGUUUCUUAUAUACACACACGCUUCAAUUUAAUGGAAAAUCAAACUGCUAAAAAAACACAGAAUCAAAGGUUCACCCAUUUAAUGGAGACAAUUUCUUUUUUAAAGUAUAGUGAUUUAAGGUUUGUGCAGUAGUUUACAGCAGUUAAAGAGGUAGAGGUGGUGAUCUACAGCUACAUUAAUAAUAAUGGCAAGGGCAGUUUUUAAAGAUAGGUCUAAAUGUUUUUUAGUAAACUAAAAGAAGGGACGUUUAUUUGAAAUUCCCCUUGUCAAACUCUGUUUACAUACUACCCUUUACACACAAAGCGAAUACAUUAUCAUGCAGUACAUUAUAAGUUAUAACACAGUCGCUCCCCGUCAUGACACACUGACGGAAACCCGUGGUGCGUUUUCCUGACACUUCUUGGGAUGAAGACCGAAGAACACGAAUGCCAACAAUCUGAAAAGGAAACAGCUGGCUGCUUAAUCUUCAUGUUGUUUCACUGGUUAUUCCGCAGCAGCUGGUGGUUGUUGCACAAAAUUCAACUGGACCCACUGUUCAUAGUUGUGGCUUUGCAGUGUGCAUCAUCACUGUAGUUGGCAGUAUAGGCUGCUAGCUACUAGCAUUAGCAGAGUUGGAAGAGAACCAUUUCAUCUAAAAUAGGCAUAAAACAUAUUUUUAUUUCUGUGUGAUCGUGUCAGCAGCUUGGAAAUCGCAGCACAAAAGUGGACUGAAGACAUAAAACAUGGAGUAGUGUUAAGGUUUGGAAGCUCUUGAGGGAGGCCUCAAUCCUUUGUUCUCGUCCCGGCCGGAAACGAGGACACGAAUGAGUCAAUUCGUUUAAAUUCAAAAAUCAAAAGUUAUUUAAUAACUGAACAACGUAAUAGGGAUUACAAUUACAAAGUGAAAUACUAAGCGAACAGUGGAAUAUUUCGCGAAAUAGAGAAUCCUCUGAGCAAGUCUGAAGUGACUUAUCAACGCGGCUGCAGGAGAAGUUCUAACAGUCUUUUCCCCGCCAUGGUCCUUUGAAACCUCUUGAGGUGUGUCUUCUUUGGUGCAUUUGAAUGUCAUUGGCCUCUUCUCCAAAGGGUCACCUCCUCCAUUGUCCCCUUCACGUCGAGGUGUGAAGCUGCAGCUGUAACCUGAAACCGCUCUGUCCUAGCUGUCCCUCACAUUCCAAUACACUCAAUGUAGAUACAUUCGGCUUUAUGCCUCAAUGAGUGAAUUUAACAAAGCAUACAUCGUUUAAGUCUUCAUCUUAUAACUAGUACACUUUCAUUACAACAACCCAUCAUUAAUGAUCACCGUUCAUCACACUUCAUCAUAAGAUCUAAGACAGUUCGUGUGGUUCAAUUCUCAAGACAUUUGCCUCAGUCGGCUGCCUUACAUGAAGUUGUUCAUUUAUUACCUGACAGGAGAAAAAACUCCCAAAAAACCCUCUUUGGGGAUAAAAUUGGGAGAAAUCCAUAAAGAACGGCAAUUGGCAUCCGUCCCCAGGUUUUAACAUCACAUUGUGACAGAAUGUUAAUGUGUACAGUGUUUAUAUGAUUUAAAUGACUAUGAAUUGUGUUUGAUUGAAAUUGCAUUCACUUCAUCUAACAUGUUAAUGUAAUAACUAAUAUCUAACAUCACACAAACUAUAAUUCUAACACUAAACAUUAUUACACGUACUACAAAUUCCCUGACUAGGGGUGCACUUCUGGCUUAAAUCCCUAACAGUAGAUGGGGCUUGGCAACUAAGUGGUUGCAGGUCCUGCUGGAUUGUGUCUAAAUACAUGCAUUGUUUUAUUUUAGUAGAGACUCACCUGGUGUUCUACUGUGUGUGUGUGUGUGUGUGUGUGUGUGUGUGUGUGUGUGUUUAGUGGGAUGUUGUCUAACGUUGUUAGUGGGUCACUAAGUGUUUGCUGCGCGCUGGGAGACAGUUUGUGUCUUCAGCACCAUGCAGAAGCUUUUCUCAUUGUUUGUCAGGGAUGUGGGAACCAGGCCAUAGCAGCAGGGUGCUUCCUUUCAUCCACACCAUAUCCCUCUUCUUCACACAAGGUCUUUGUCACACUUCACUCUGCAUCCCCUCCGAUCAUCCUUUCCUCUCUUAGUUUUUCCUCAAUAUCUGUUAAUCUCUCUCUUUCUAUCACUCUCCUCUCCCCUUCCUACGUUACAUUUCUCUUAUGCUGACUUCUCUGCAUGGUUCUCGUCUUCUUCUUUUCGUCGCCGCUUUCAUCCGUGUACUCCUCGACUAUGUUCUUUAAUUUCCUGUGCAUGAAAGAUUCAUUGGACUCUUUUAAUAAUAAAUAGGGAGGCACAGUGGAAAAGUGCAGAAGACACCCCUGACUCCUGCAGUAAGGAUCUAAAAGGGUGAGUAAUAUUCCGGCUCAGACUGGCCUUUAUUCCCUUCACCCCUCUCCUCUAUUAAUCUUUCUCCCUCUGUCAAUCUGUCUCUUUCUUUUUGGCCAUCCCAAAGCAUACUGAACGACACCCUCUGGAUAAAGACAAGGCUCAGGAUCACAGUCGAUAGCACGAGGUCCUUGUUAUCCACAUACUGAUUCUGUAAGUCACUCACCCAGAGACUCGGGGUGUCGUCACACUGACAGGUCGUUGCCUGGUUUGAGGUCUAGUGUUAAAGAAUUCUUGCUGCUACAAGCCAACAUGAGAUUGUCACACAAAAAUACAUUACAUAAAAAGAAAUGUAAUACGAUGAGAUAAGGUUUUCUAAAGGUACAAUGGACAAAAAAGUUUGGAGGUUGAUAUCAGACUUCGGUUUGAACGAGACUAUAUGUGUCAACAAAUGUUGCCUACCGUAACUUUGACUCCAACUUCACCUUGUAUGGGUCUUGAAUAAAAUGUAUUAUUGCUACACAGUUGUGCUAUUGAACUGCGGGGCCAUAUUCUCACUGAAACAAGAUGGGCUGUCUGCUUCGACAAAGACAGACGCUUUUCAGGUGUCAGUUCAAUUACUUCGAACACAUCCAUCCAUCCAUCGUGAAACCGCUUAUUCUGCACACAGGGUCGCAGGAGUCUAUCCCAGCCAACUUUGGGCAAGAGACAGGGUACACCCUGGACUGGUCACCAGCCAAUCACAGGGCCACACAAAGACAUACAACCAUUCACACACCUACGGGCAAUUUAAAGUCCCCAAUUAACCUGAUCCCCAGAGCAUUUGGACUGUGGGAGAAAGCCAGAGAACCCAGAGAGAAUCCACGCAGACACGGGGAGAACAUGCAGACUCCACACAGAAAGGCCACUGGGCGGAGUCGAACCCAGGACUUUCUUGCUGUGAGGCAACAGUGCUAACCACCACGCCACCAUGACGCCCCACUUCGAACACAUUAUCCAAAUUGGGUAAUUUUUUACAUGUUUACGUCCAACAAUUUUUGUUUGGUGUUUUGAAACGUAUCCUAAUAACUAUCCUCAUAGACCCUUUUCAAAAUGCAUUGGAUUAAUUGGUAAAUGUAUUGUCAUCAACUAUUUCUCAAAGUGAUUACAUUUUGAAGCUGCAGUGUUUUACAGUUGGACAAAAAUGGUAUUUCUGUUGUUGAAAAAAAAAUACAACUGUUCCAAUGAACUAAAAAGUAUGUUUGAUAUGAACACGUUCUCUGUCAUUCAGUGAGCGAUGAGACUAACUCACUAAAUAUCAGUCAGCCAGGCACGCCAUCCCUUAUCCUCUUUGGACGGCCCGAAGAGCCACUGGAUAGCACCCAAAGGCAAGUCUCACAAACACUCGUAGCGAUUCCUCAAGCCCAGCACACUCAGUCUAACUUAGGUUGCUUUCCAAAACCCCAGGAGCCUGAUGACACGUCUUUGUCACCGAAAAACAACCUCAUCCCUCUUGUCGUCCUUCCUCCUCAACACGCCUGCCUGAGGAUAUAGUGUGAGAAAAGCUAAAUGAGAAAAAAAAAACUAAAAAUACUCCCGUUAGCUCCGGAGAGAAUCCCCUCAGUGCAUGCUGUAAGUAGCUCGACGUGAUAUAUCGUAAGAACCUCUCCUGAGGUUUCUGCUGAAGCUUGAUCGAUCAUGCAAGGCAAACAGGGGAAAACAUUGCCUUGCAUUAUUUAUUCAUCAAGGUGUGUUUACUUCGAGUCAUUUACUCUUCAAAGGUUGAUUGUUAAAGAAUGACUUGACCGCCACGCUCUGCUGAACGAGUGUUUUGGAUCCUUGAAUCCUGUCAAUAAAGCGAGAGAUCUCAGAGGCGUGUUGGAACUGUUAUUUCAACAGAGGUGAUCUAUCUUUGUUUUUGUUCUUGUUGUCAUUGCAUCAGCAUCGAUUUGACUCCCAUCUGUAGUCUUAGUUUGAAUUUCAAUGUUCAAUCAACAACUCCGUUUCCAGUAUCUCAUAAUUUCACUCUCACCCUUCACCGCACUGUUAUUAAAAUGAAAUGCUUGAAGAGGUGAUGGCGUCUGACUUUACUUAAACUGUGCUUUGUAGACGCACUGCAUAUUAUACUACAAACCUAAAUUAGGAGGGGCUGUCAGUGGGGAUGUGGCCUAGAAAUGCAAAGGGUAAAGCAGCUCAGAAAUGCAUUUGAUGCGCUACACGGCCCGUGAUCAUCCCAUCAACUUCGCUCGAUGUGGUGUGUCUGUGUGAGAGAGAGAGAGAGAGAGAGAGAGAGAGAGAGAGAAAAGAACAUUAUGAAAGGAUUUCAUCAACAUGCAAUAUGGGAUUUUCUGGAUAAGGCAACGAUUCACUCAUCUUCAUUAGAUCUGAAAGAUGGUGAAGUAACACAGACCUUUAUUUAUAAAUAUCUUAAAGAAGGGACAACGGACGAAUCUUUCUGUGACACUCAGGCGUUAAGAUUCGUCUCGCCUCUUAGCUGUUUGUCGCCGGCGAAAAAAGUGCCACACGAAGUAGAAACCGCUUUAAAGGUUUUGUAGCGGCCUAUGUUGUAGAAGGAAGGGGGGUGGGAGACACCACUGUACGAGCCACUGCCAGCCUCUUUCUGUUGAUGAGACGUUUCAUGCUUCUUUAAGCACAGAUUGCAAAAUAGGAGUCACGUUGUGUCCUCCAGUGCUGAGGGAAAUGAUUGUGGCCUUGCGGACAAAGCCGCCUCAGAGUAUGAAAUGAAUGUGCCAGUGAAGCAUACCACAUUAAGACGCUAUGGACCAGAGCGUGCACUUAUUCUGCGCUUGAUAAUGCCCUUUGGUGUAGUAGACUCACAGAGAAAUUACCACAGUCACAGCACACCGUGACAGGCAGUUGUAACGCUCCGGGGAUGAUAAAUUCCCACCCACCAAAAACAAAAAAACAUUGACCUCGUAACUUUGCUUUUGUCUUUUUUUUCUCUCAUAGUUCAAUAACUUAUUUUUACAUAUUCACAAGUGCAAGGACCGUUAUGACCCUCAGGCAUCUCAAACCUAUGCGAUUUUCUGGUUUGAUAUUAUUGAGUGACGCGGGCCCAUCAGAGCAGACUCCAGGGCCUCCAUACACAAAGUGAGCAUCUUGCUCAUUUAUAGAAAAAACAACAAUUAUUAAGCCCCCUAAUACUGGUACAAUGGACAACAUAACACAAUUCAACCCAAACAUCAAACCCAUAGACACACAGCUCUGGAAUGACAGCAGCUAAAUGGGUUUUAAUGGCGAUAGCAACCACCUGUUAACCACUGAUGUGGUUGGUAUUUUUCCACCCGAAAAAAGUGCCAUUUCAAAUUCUUUCUUCACAUAAAGACACUCAAAUUCUUCAUAUUAUAUAUAAACAUAUAUAAUAACAGAAUUAAAUCCAGAUCUAAUUAAAUGAUGAAGAUCACACUGACUCUCAAGUCCAUCAAAACUGCUUGUAAACUCUGCCUUCCUAAUUUAUUUUUUCAAUUACCAGUGAGGGAAAAAUAGCCUUGCCGUGAAUUGAAGCAGUGGAGAAAGGUUCUUUUUGGGAUUCGUUUAGCAGCAGCUGAACCAGAAACUACUUUGUCACACACGUCGUCAGUUGUUGUCUAAAUGCUGCUGAUUAAAAGCACCAAACAAAGCACAAAUCCAGCAUGCUGUAUCCCUUACACCAUCUCAAAUUUUCUCAUUUUCAGACUGUAUGUCCUUUGCAAAAUAUAUAUUUUUUUUUUCAAAAGUUUGUCUUCAAACACGGAACCUUUUAACAUGUUAUUUACGACAAAAUAUUUAGCAAAAAGAAGUCAUGAAAUCGUGCUAUAGUCGUAUGAGGGGGCACGGUGGUGUGAAAACAUAAAAGUCAGUUAUAACAAUAAGAUGUUUCAGGUCCGACUCCACCCAAUGGCGCCUCUGUGUUGGGUUUGCCCAAUGCAGGCUGCGAUUCACUACAGUAAUUGUGAGAAAGAAAUGUGUAUCCACUGUGACAAAGAAGAUUAUAAAAGAUUCCGUGUUUAAAAACAAACAAACAAAAAAUGUUCCUUUCCCUGGACAAUUUAUGGAGGAUUUUCAGUUCUAUUUGAAGCCAUUUUGCUUGCAAAUCACCUGUUUUGGUUGUAAUGCAAAAAAAUACAUAUAUCUCACCAAGGAUAAGUGAUACGCGAGAAGAAAUGGUUCCUAAGACUAUGUUCACUAUGUUGAGUCGGGUGUGCAAACAUUUCUUUUUAGGGAGAGAGUCCAGAAUUAAGGACCAAUGAUGUUUCAUUGUUAGGCUGCACUCUUUUGUUUGUCUGCUGACCUCUAAAUGUCCCAGUACGUGGGACAAAGAGGAGAAUGGGUUUUUCAACAGCAGAAUGGAGUCAAAUACUAUUAUUUCACAUUAAUACCCUCCCCAGAGUAUCGGCCACAGCAUUCAUACGAUGAGAGGGAUGGGAUAGAAAGGGGGAGGAAGAAAUAGACAGGGACAUUGAGAGAGAAAGAGAACGAUGGACGAAGCUGUCUGUUCUGGAGCAUUCGGGUCCCACUGCGAUUUGAUGAAGAUGAAGUGAAGUGUUAAAAAUCAAUAAUUUGCUCGAUAUGUCCUCAGAAAGGUUUGACCAUUGGGUAUCCAACCACGAGAUUCAUUCCAGAUGUGGGUUGAAUACAUUUUGAAUUUAGUCAAUUCCGGUGCAGAUAAACUUGAGCAAGGUGCAAUCAAAACUGAUCUGAAAGGUCUGAAGCUCAAAGGAAAAUGACAAUUUGAUGGAAUGAAUAAAACAGAGAACAUUAAUAAACCCCCCAAAAAAGAGAGAAUAAAUCACAUCUACUGUAUAUUAACAUCAUAGAGGUACAAUUGUGCAAACUGAAGGAAAUUAGUUUGAUACAUAACGGAAAUUAGGCUAAACCCUAAAAAGACCAGAUCCAAUUAAGACCAAACGGAAGAGUCAGGCAGACGUUUCCCACCAUUAAAUUGUGAUUUAAUAGAUGAAGUGUGAUAAACCUAAUCUUAAUGUCAUGGUGGCUUUAAACAGUCCUCCUCAUUCCCCUGAAAGGAACUUCGGGAAAGCACAGUAAAGAAUCGCUGCUUAGCCACCAAAUGCCCAUAAACAAGAGAUAUAGGUGGGAGUGUUUUUAUGCUUCACAAGGUCAGAAACGUUUCUCACAAUCGCCCCUCUUAAUAUUACAGUGGCAUUCAGACAAGCAGAAUACACCUCAUGGAAAUGCAUUAUCUACAUGGUUUCUUUAUCUCACAAGAUUCAUGGCUCAUAACAGGAGCUAUCAGACCAUGCAAAACGAGUAUUGAUCGGAGUAGAGAACACUAAAUGUAAGAUCAUAAUGCCUUUGCUUAUGCCAGAUAAAUGCCGGGGAGAAAGGGGUUGUGGUGCAUGUGAACAUAGGGAGGAAUGGAAAAAGGCUUCAGAAGACUAAAAGACACAGGACACUAUAUGAAGUUUGCCUGAAAUCUGCUAUAUGGAAGAUUAAGCCAUAUUUGCAUAUACUGAUGUACCUGCUGUACGUUUGAUCUUUUGAAUUAGCUACAGUUGUUUUUCAUCAGAUUGAACUUCACAGCAUUCAUCUCAUCUGACUUGACAGUUAAGCACUAAUAUCAGAAAGCCGGGUUUUACGAUUUGUAUCAAUAAUCUUGUUCUGUAAAAACAGCAACCUGAACCGUGUAAACAUUUAACUACGACAAACAGACUGUUGGUUCUUUGAGCUGAUCAUAGAGUGAAGGCAGACAGUACGUUCGACACCAAACAAUCACAGGCCUCCAAUCAUACCUCACCAUAUUUCAGGACUUGGUUUACUUAGCUAAUCCCUGAGGUGCCUUCAACCCUCCCGCUGACACGAGCAACAGCACAUCUUAAUUAUGUAAUCACUGUGAAGCACUGAAGAUUUGGCUUCAAUUGGUAUAAACAGGAUGAGUAUUUUGGUGAGCAGUGUGUGUUUGCAGAGUGUGAUUAAUUUGGUUCUGACCCGUGGGUGACAGUCAAACGGUUCAGGUCACAUGCAAUUAAACCGCAUUCCUCCUCUGUGCGCUGCGUUUCACACCGUGCACAGAAGAGCGCUUGAACUGUCGUCCGGAGACAUGUUGCAGAUGUUGUUAAACAUUAAAGGGGGGGCUAACACGUUUUGACAUGCCAGAUUUCUUUCACUGUGACGCUACAGACAGAAAAGGCACUUGGCCCAUACUAUGUGGUCGGAACUCAACAGAUAUUUUGCAGUUUUGGUGCAUUUACUAAAACAUGGUUGGUAAACUAAAUGCUCUCCUAGCAUUCUGGAUUCCUCGUCACACAAUAUGUACCUCUAUUUGUAGUGUUGCAGUAAGUUUCCCUGACACAACUUAAUUGAACAGUUAUUAAUUCAGAAGUGUCUGCUAAUUCAUUUACAAAUUACACAGAAAUAAAUAGAAACCAGCCAUAGUUUGGAGCUACAGGAAACAGAAAAGCAUAAAACCUGAAAGGUGUUAAAAAAUGACACAGCUAACACCGGCAGGUACACCAACGGGAAAUGACAUCAACAUUUCAAUCAGGAGAGACAUUGCAUCAACAUUGCUUUUAUUAGGUAUAACAAGAAAUAGUGUUAAUCUUUGGCGCUUGGACUCCAUCCUCGAUGCGAGGUUCUGCUCAACCCCCCCUUGGAGUCCAGACACUGGUGGUGAUGGUGAAGACGAGAAGCAUCGCUUUGAUCUGCAAUGACAGCUGACAGGACCCGAGGAGAUCACUCCUUAAAAAGUUUAACAGCAAGGUUAUGAUUGGUUGAAAGACCCAGUGCGGCGUCUGGUUGGUUGAUUGUUACUCGUGAACACCCGCCUUCGCCUCUCCGCCUUUGCUGCUUGCGUAAUGCUGAGAUGCUAGACAUCCUAACGGACCCGCCGUGUAAAGACAGUCUUCCUUCUAGAACUACGGCUUAAGCUCCAUAUCCUGGACGCACAGGCAGGGUGCCUGACCUUCUGAAAAUGAGGAGUAUUGCUUUUACACGAGGUGAGCGUCAGGUUGGCGCCUUUUAAGUGCUUCCUUCUACUUAGUAAAGUAAAAAACACACACCUCAGAAUAACGUAUUCGGACUAUGAUGCACAGUCUGGGAGAGCCUUAUAUUAAUUUCCCAUGGCAGUAGUGUGAAUGUGUCGUAGCCCUGGUACAUUAAGUGAAACUAAAUGAAAUAAUGCUGACAUCAUGGUUCAUUGAAACAACUAGGUUGUUUCACCUGCAAUCUAUUUUGGCUAAUCAAUUUGCCACAAGAUGAAUUAUUCGCGGGUGGAUCUCUCACGAAGCCCCAGCUCCUUACUUUUCAUAUUCUGCCUCACUCUGCUAUGAACACUAUUCAACCACAUGACAUGUUGUCUAAUCAUUUUGCACUGCCUGCGUAUACAACAAACCGUCCUGACUCUUCUUCACAGGGGUGAUCCCCGUGGAAUCAUCUUCUUAAAUAGGAAGAAAAUAGGAAAUUUGCUCGACAGUGCAUACAAUUAAUGAAUGAAUGUCGAGAUCUUAACUCUAAAGUCAAUUCCCAAAAAUCUGCAAAAGACAAGAAAUAUACGAGCCUUUCUACCAGGGUAAACAUUUUGAAGAUCAUAAAUUCAAACACUUGCCAUCAACUCUUCCAAAAGUCCGGGUGCAGCAUGUUUGACAGUUUGACGAGUUGCUUCUCCUAUUUUUUCCAGCAUACUGUGUUGCAGAGAAAAACUGCAGUAGAGUGACAAAGGUAAAGUGUCUCUCAUUACUCCCCCACUUUCCAUGAGCUUAUGCUAUUUUUUAUUUGCGAUACAUCCAUUAAGUAUAUAUUCAAAUGAAUAUAAAAUCUAGUCACAGAACCAUUAACAGUUAAGACACAGCAAGUCGGACCGGCAAUCAUCUUGGGAAGCUCGAUACAAAUGCACAACAGUACCUUUGUUGUUACUUGUUAAACCAUGUGUCCAAUAAAAUUACAUCAUAUGAAAUCCGUCAGGUGGAUGGAGAGGCAGUCAUGGGAUGGAACGAUAUCACCUGCAGAACAGGACAGAGGAAAUCUCUGUUUUCAUUGUUGCUUGCUGACAUCACUUCUGACUGAAAUAAAUCCCUCUAGAUCACUACGUUUGUGUCAACACCACAAGUAUGUGCACGUGACACCUACAAAUAUCCCUCUUCAACUGCAAAGCCAACACUGAUGGAAAUAAUAACGACUAAGUGUCACAGUCUAGAACCUGGGCCCCUUUAUUUAUGUCCAAUAGAGUCUGAAUAAAUCACCCUCAUUCCUUCAAUCCGUGUUGGUGGUAAAUCAAGUUAGCGCUGUGUUUGAGCUCAACAUUUAUGAGCCAUUACAUCAGAUUGAAAGGAGGCCAUAUUUCCUUUUCCCCUGAGCUUCUUGCUAUCACUUAACUUAAACAAUCACAUUUUUCCGCUGUGCAGAGGCCCCUGUAAUUAAAUGAAGGAGCCUUGGGUGUGUGUCCAAAAUAAUGGCUGUACUCUUAAGUCGCCUCUCACCAUCAUCUCCAUUCAUUACUUUUUGGAAAGUGAGAGAAGAACGGAAAUUUAAUCAAACAACAAACAAGUGCAAGAAAUUUCAGUAAAAAACAGUUUAAAGCACCACUAGACUUCAGAGUUUUCAAUGGCUGUUAUUUACGGCAGACAACGUUUUUUUGUCCUGUUCAGUUUACCAAAACAAAAUCGAAAUAAAACUUUGGACAGAUCCACUUUGGAGCCGUAAAGAACAUUUACAAGACUCUAAAAGGGUGUUUUAUCUCUCCACGUGUUUCCUUUCAGUAGCUUGAGAAACAGAAUCAUGCUUUGUUCAUGUACGUAAGACAUUUAUGCAACAGUACAUAAAUGCAUUUUAAUAGAAGAAUGUGUUAAGAGACUUUGUGUGUGAACAUGUGUCAAAAGGUUUGUUUUAUCACACUCUGUGGAAUCAACAUUUCACCAGGCGCUGGUUCCCUCCCUGCCGUUCCCUUUCAUCCCGUUUCAUCGAGUUGAAGAGCACUCAGGCAGAUGUUCCCCGCCAUGCUCCUUUGCUGUUCCCUGUCACACCGAUGCUUCUGCAGCGGUUUCCUAGCCUCGCAAGCAGAACACAUAGCAAUAUGUGACCCAUCUCUGUUGUGACUUCUCUUUUGAGCUCGAUGGAACACUGUAAAAACGAUUUUGGAGGGCAGUAAUUAUAACCCAUGCAAAUUGUUUAAAUGUUACAUGGAGUGGUGUAUUAGUCAGCAAACAAAUGUAUAAUUAUGGGUUACCUACAAUACCUAUUUUUCAACAGUAACAACUGCAGCCUAAUUAAAUAUAUAUAUUACCCGGUUGGUGUACAUUGAUGUGAGGCAGCUUUGUCACUGUAAUCAACUUAUAAAUUUACCUCAAACUGGAAUAUACAUUGGACAUGAAUCUUUAGGGACAUUUAGUUAUAUUAAGAUUAAAUAUUAAGAUUAAAUAUGACAUUUUGAAUAAAUAUGAUACAUCCAAGAAUUUAGUGGUAUUUUAAAGAGCCGGUUUGGUGAGUCCAUCUCACACAAAAUCUAAAAAGCUCCAUUAUUUUUCUCCUCAUCUUCCCUGAGGCUUUUGGCGGUCGUUCAAGCACACAGAGUAAUGUACGCAAGGAACAUCACUGACAUAAAAUCCCCAAAUGAUUACACAGUCAGAGCAUGUGCCGUGGCGUAGAGAGUUGGAUUAAACACCGGAUUUAUGGCGGGGGGCCGUACUGUUCGUGUUCCGUGGGGAAACUGAAAGUCAGCGUUGGUUUGAUGUCAUGUGAGUCGACAGUUAAGCGACUCACGUCAGUCAUUACUCACUUACCUCCUCUGUCACUCACUCUGUCACUCACUCUGUCACGUUAACGUCAACCACGCUCUUUUAUUUAACCUAAUUCAGUGGUUUUGAUACUUACCCCUGAGGUCCUGUGAAGACAAAACGUUCAUUCAUUGUAUUGUGUCCCAAAGAGAGCAAAGUUCAUCAUAUUCAUUCCACCUGAUACAUUUUCACCCAAUCUUUUUUUCUUCUUUUUGUCUUCCACUAUUCCCUAAUUUUAUUUUUUUUGCCUUUCCCGCUCUUUCUCCCGGGCCGAACGCCUCCUCUCUGUCAUCCCGAAUGCAUUUUUUUCACAUGAUGUUCUUAGUCACCCCCCUUUUCCCUCUCUCAUCUGGAAGCCUCCUAUUCUCGCGGUGGCUCGUUACCUUGUUUGCAGGCCAAAACCCCCGGCUAUCGAUGUCAGCAGGAUUAUGUGACACGUCCAUGUGUUGUGUUGUCCCAAAGGGGGGGUUCCCUUGCCAGCCAGUGAAUUUAUGAGUCCCCAGUGUGCGAGCAUUGUUUUGUGUUCAGGAGGGGUCACUGAGCAUGAGGGAAGUGCUAAUGUAAAUGUGUCUCAUGGGUUUGGAAUGGGGUUGUGUGUGUGGGGCAUGGCACUGGUUAAUCUGCGUUGGAAGCCAGUAGAUGCAUCAACAUAGAGAGCACAACAAACACAAUUUGUGUGCCCAGAAAAGCAAAUUCAGCACAAUUACAAAGGCUACAAAAAAUAUAAUUAAUUUAUUGCGUAACAGGUGCGGAGACAGAAAUAUGCAGUGUGUAAUGACCUACUUAAUGUGGUGUGUGGUACAUUUUAAAUUAACAUUUGUUUUAGCAAGCAGGGAGGGAGUUACAGCGGGUUACUUUUCAUGCUGAAAAAAGGAUUGCCACUCUUUCUUGUAAUUGUUAUAGAAGUAUAUUAAAGUAAAUGUGGGAACCGUCAAGAAAAACCCUUUUAAACAAGCAAGAAGGGUUCAGAGACAAUGAGUUUUUAAUUACUCUGCGUCAGGAAUAAAUGCUCCCGUUAAAAGAGUUCUGGUGGAAUAACACUUUUCACACAAUUCAUCCUCAAUUUGGCGUUUGUCCAUUUGCCCCUUAAAUGUGAUUGAAGAGCGCAGUUUGACAGAAGGUCUAAUGAAAUGGAGCAAAGAGCAACAAAGAGAAAACCUCCGAUGAUGUACAGUUGAUAGCAGUAAAUUUAUCUCUUUCUUUUUCUCUAAAAUUGAGAGGUGCACAUUUUAUCAACUCAACCCAACUAGUUGUUUUCCAAUGAGUUAGGGGUUUGUUGCAGAGUAUUAACAUGUCAAUGUCUAAGCUACACAUAUAAUAUAAUUUACAACUAGUGCUAAAAUUAGGAUAUUGAGGAUUGCAGUUGUUUCAGGAAUGCAUGAAAUUCUCUUUUCAGCGGUAUCGGAAUUAUCUCGUCAACAAAUGAUUUAACAUGAGCUCAGACCCCUUAUGGUCCCCCGGUGAGUCAAAUGAAUCAUAUAAUGUUAUACUCAUUAGCUGUGAAGGCUUCUCUGUCGGUCCAGUUACGAACUUCUCACUCACUCUGUUUAUCCCUAUUGUGUGUCAUCAGCCUCAAACCAAGCAUCUUUGCAAAAAGAAGAGUUAUGAAGCUAAUUGGGUCUCCAUUACUUAUUUAAAGGUAACUGUUUUUUGUGAAGGCAGCGGAAUAAAUUAUCCAAUAGAUAACGUCUUUGGGGUAUUUUGUUGAACAGAGCUUUAUUAACAGCAACUGGUGAGGGCAAUUUAAUGGCAUCCCAAUUAUUUUGAGAGUCCCCGCUGUCGCCAGUGCCAGACAGAAGCUGCCAGCUCGCACCCAUUUAGAGAGGCGAGGGAACUGUGUGGAACUUAAUGGCACUGUUAAAAAGAUCCUCUGUGGAUAGUUGUGCCUUUUUUAUUUGGACCAGGGGACAGUUUUGUAGUAAAAUGAGGACCUGAGUUCAACGGAGCUCUUGUUAAAACUCUUGAGAGCAUCAGAGGUUUUCAUGUGUCACUGCAGCUUUGCACGACACGCAACAGGACAAUUUAUUAUGUCAAGUCACUUGAAUUCAACGAUUUACUCAUCAGUUUCACUUGUAAAGAACGUAAGUAAGUGUUCUUUAAGUGAGCAAAAAAAAAACUGGAAUGCUGCAGUGAUUUGUGCCUGCGAGUGAAAGACAACUGGUUGGUUUGGUAGAUCAAAAUGUAUCAGGCGCUCUUGGGAAAUGGUUAGGAAAUAAUCGGCAAGAACAGGAGGGCAAUCCAGGCGUUCCAACAAUGACAAUCGCAACAUCAAAAAGCCUUUAUUGUCGUUGCUGAAUCAUUAGGGGAGCCAACAGGUUCUGACCACUGUGUUUCUGCCUGUGGUACGUCUAUUUAAAGAUGACUCAUUACUCAUCAUUACUCAUCAUUUUCAUCUUCAUCUCUGUCUCCUCUCCCCCAGAGUCACCUGGCUUUGUGCUCUCCCUCACCGCCGCCUGUGCAGGCGAAUCUGCCUGCAAUGUUUUCCGUUUGAUCAGAAGACUUCAGAGGUCCUCCAAACAGCUGCUGCUGCAUCUGCUGUGAGGCAGAAUAAAUUGCACACAUGCAUGACGAUGCAAGUGAUUUGUUUUUGCAGCCAGGCCAGAGCAACUGCAAUAUCAUCCUCCAUGAAUGCAGUUGUUUGGUUCUGUAAGGCAGGUUUGUUCAUUGUUGUAUUGUUCUUCACUGUGUAUCAGUCUCAAACCAGCAUUUCUCUCGCUCCUUCUCCAGUCUCCAUUUUCUGGAGAGCCUCAUCAAUUCUAGAUGUAUUGACUUACUGUAGCUACGGUAACCAAAACACAUUAACCACCAUGACAGCUGGAACACAAGGCACAAGACUUAGAUUAAUCAAAUAUGCUCGUGGCAUUGCCAAGGUGGCACCCGCCCAAGGCUGCGUAAGAAUCACAGACUACAGAUCAUUACCCUAAAACACAAAUUCAUCACAGCAAAUCUGGUGGCUAUCCCCAGAAACGCAGUUGACAAUUAGAGACCAUUGAAAACGCUUAUAAACAGGUUUUGCAACAGAUUGAGUUCAUGGUUCAGUGCCAUUUCUAGGCAAAGAGUGUAUGAUGAAUAUAAACAGACAAAGCAACCUAAUAUAUUUACCACUAUUUUGUUUUAUAUAUAUAUAUAUAUAUAUAUAUAUUUACAGUAUAUUAUCUACAAUAUUGCCAAAAAUUGUUUUAAAUGAUUUCAGCAAUCCAAUUUGUAAAAAUACAAGGAUGUGGGAAAAAAGCCACAGACAUCUAGAAUAAAUAUACUAAUGUGAUAUGCUAUAAGAAAUCUAGCAUAUCAGCUAAAUGAAAAGACGAAUCAAUAACAUUAAAUAUUAUAAUUGUGUGUGUAUGUCUGUAUAUGGUGUCGAGUCUGAUUUAUCUCCUACCGGUAGCACAGUGAAGGGAAUAAUGAUGCGGCAGCCCGGGAAGACGGAUAGUGACUCAGGGAUUUUUUUCCCCACAUUUUUUUACUGAAAAUACUUUAGUUUGGGCCUGCUGCCAAAAAAACAUUUGUCAUCAUUGGCUUUUGUUUAAUAAUAGUCAACUGACAUUUUCACAUCAGUGUAGUCAGUAACACACACACAUCAUAUGCAUGAGUAAAAAAUCUUGUAGAGGAUUUUCUCCGUAAUAUCACAUACAUCACAUGAACCCAAGUAAAAAGUAUUGCAAAUAGUCUUUCGAGGGGUACUCACAUCCAGACUUCACAUCCUGCCAUUAGCUUUUUACCACGGCUAGUUUCUAACAUAAUAUAAAGUUACAGACAGCUUUCACUUAUCAUAAAUACUUUGGCAGUAACUUUUUCUCCUCCGUUAAAGGUUUGCUGAAUAUAUUUCCCACACACCCACAUAAGUGCACCGACUCGCACACACAUAAACGCUACAAAAUGUACUUCACAGAGUUGCAUCCUCCCCUUAGAGAGACUGAUGGAAGCAUUAUACAUUUUUUUCAUAGCUGAACAAUUCGAACACAGCAAUAAGCACCAGGUAGAAAUCCUGUGUAUAUUAAGCUCAUUCACUGUGUAGCUGCCCAACUGCUGUGCUGUCAAAUGGAUGAAGAGGGGAGAAAGUGACUCCCAGUCUCUCGUACGACAUGCUGACUGUCGCUGUAAGGCCUCUUGUCCAAUCCACCCUUAGUGUCACGGAUACGAUACUUAUUUUCUGUCACAUUGUGACAGAAAAUAAGUAUGGCAAUAGGGGUCUCCAUUGAUCGAGGAAAAAGGUCCAAUGUGCUAAAUGAAAUCUCGUUUACAACAUAUAGUUUAAUUUGGGGUGAAAGGAGAAGAGAAAAAAAGAGAAGGGAACAGUAAAAAAUAAAUAAGUAGCCGAGUCAUGCUGCUUCAGUGGUUGCUUCAUUCAAUGCAACCUUUUCAGACUGAACUGUCAAUCUGAACACGAACGGCUGUCAUAUUAAAGACGAAUCAAUCAAUCACAGACAACCACCCUCUGUUGCGUCCAAAACAUAUAGUAUAAAGUAUAAAGUAUAGUUGAUUUGUGUAACACAGACGUGACAGAUCAUGUGGCAGUGGGGAAACAGAUGUGCAGACAGUACAGAGAUGCACGCAUUCGCAGAGUGACACUUGAGUCUCAGACGUUAAUCACACACACACACACACACACCUACACACACACACACUUUUGAAAGUGUUGACAGAAUAAGCAACUGACACGACUGAGGGAUUUUGGCUGUGCGGAGGGGGAGCUUCUGUUCCUUUUCCUUGUCACGCUGGAGGAGGAAGCAGAGCAAAGUGUGAUUGAGCUGCUGUGACACACCAGCAAGGUCAAGUCUAGUUCCUUCCUGCUGCGGCAGCAUUCUCAGAGUGGGGGGAACUCUUCACAUGUAAAUUGAUGAACUAACUAUCUGGUGCACACGCAACGGCGAGCAAGGGUUGGUGCAUAAGAAGAGGCCAGGUUCACCAGGUAAUCAGCGUCUAGAGGGGAGGGACUGUCGACUGAUGGAUGGCAACAGCUGCUGCAAGUAAGUUGAGAUUGAAAAAUGUGGUGUGUGUAAGAAACAUGAGUUCCUAAAGAAACUCAGGGGUAAAAAAAAUAGAUGGAAAAGGUAAACGUCCUCCCCCAAAUAGGAAGAUGCAUCCUACCAACCACCUUCCAGUAAACUCAGUUCAGUGUCCCCGACGCAGUCAAUAUUUCAAACUUUUUAUCACACCGCCAGUGUGGCCAAUUCUCAGUAAAGUGGCGGGAGUUCUUUUUGGAAGUUUGUGUCACGUUUACAGUGAACGCCAUGCAGAGAAAGAGAGCACAGUGUGUCAAAGUCUUUGGAAGGACGAAACGGCAAAAAGAACACUGAAUACCAAAAUAAGCCAACCAAAAUAAUUUGUUCCUCAGAGAGCUGAUACAAAGUUUUGAAAAGCCUGCCGAGCUUCUAAGUCUCUAACGCUAUCUGAAUAUUUCCUCUCUUGAAGAACUUCAAAGGGUUAUCUUUAAGUCAGAAAUGUAUAGCUUCAAUAGGGAGAAGUCUCAUAAUACUCUGUGUCCGCUUUGAAAGGUUAAGGGACUUAUCAGAAAACCAAAGGGAGUAAAACAUAUUCCUUCAUUUCAGGAUUGCCUGGGUGUCUGCAUGCAAAUUUCAAAAGGUGCAACAGUGAGCAUAAAUCUGUAAUGCAACAUUUUUCCAAAGAUUAUAAUAAUUUAGAUUAUUUUUCAUUAAAAGGCCAUCAGAAAUAAGAUGGAAGUAUACAUGUAGGAGUUAAAAACACAACACAGACUGGUUAAUUGUACUUUUAACCAAAAUCCAUCACAAUCCAUCUUUCUUUUAAAUAGUCACUGUCGUGACCAUCUUCAAUGACUGGACACACCUCAUCCACAUGUCCCAUGUUUUGCCUUGUUGCACACUGCCAUAAGGAAAGACAUUUUGGUGAGAAUUUAUAUCUGCCAACAAGUCACAGCUCAUGUCAACGCCAAGAGCAAGUACAGCCGAGGCUGAUAUAAAUCCGCCCAGCGUGAUGAUGAUGAUGAUGAUGAUGCGGCGAGCAGAGAUCCAGAACAGUUUCAUGCUCCGCUCAGUUAUGAUGGCCAUCGAAUGAAGUGGCCAUAUGUGUGGGUCAGCUCUUUAUGGAUUCCUCAUGGCGAUGGAGCCUGGCAGGGGAGGAUUUAUCCGAGAAAACAGAUGGGCAGGAAAAGAAAGUCGGAGCCAUCACGCUGAGAAAGCCAUGCUGAUCGUCUCCUUAUGGCAGAAUAACUUACAGACGUCUGACAAUGCUCGGUGCAGAAUGCAGCACAUUAUCUAUGAUAUGUCAUUUUUAUUUUGACCAGACUAAAUUAUUCUAUAAUUGUCUGGAUAAAGUAUGAUUGACAAAGAGCAGAGAUGCACGGUGGAGAGGUAGAAUCUGGCUUUAAAUCUCUUAAUUACUGUUCAGACGUUCCACUCCCUUCUACAAGAAAUAUUGGUUACUAGAUAAAAGAUACUAUCAAACAAUUAUUAUUGGCAGGCAUGAGUAACCUUUGCAAUGAAAGACCUAUGAGCCUCGCAAAAGACAAUACAUUUAUAAUUGAACAGCUUAUUUUAUGGGUUGAUAACGACAUAAUCAACAAUACACAUGAGCAGAAGCACUGUCUCAUUAGAUCAUGUCCUUUGUGUUUUAGCACAAUUACAUAUGUUUACCAAUUACAAUUAAAUGAACACCCAUAAAGCAGAAAAAACAGAAAUGUAGUCGCCAAUUGCAGGCGCCAAUGGGCACAUUUGACGGCAAUGGUUUCACUGACAAUUGCUUACGGUCUCUUCUAGAUUAUUUCCAUUAUUUAGUCAUAAGGAUGACAAUACAAUACAAUACACAUAUAUUUGUUCCCCCAGUUACGUUAUGUAAUAACCCUUUGUUAAGGUACUGAUAUACUUCUUAUUGCAGUAGAUGUGGCAGUUAUGUAUCAGCUAUACACACACUGAAGAUUUGGCUGAAUUAAUUUACCCCCCCAAGGUUAUUCAUGGUUUUCAUUUGCACAGCAACAUGUACAUAGAAAGCUAGUGCUUAAUGAUCACAAAUGUGAGGGUUUCUAAGGCAUAAAAAGAGAACUUGUUAAUGAAUCACCAGUAAACAGCAAAGACUCCCCCCUAAGCCUUCGGACACUGCUGUUAAAAAGCACCUUAUUUGAUUAUUUAUUUGGCAAUGCAUUUAAUUGCAUAAAAAGUGUAAUCGUUGACCAGCACUUCUUGAAGCCUGACUUAAACAGUUCAUUAAUCGUCAAAAUAAUAGCAGAUCCUUUAGUUUCAGCUUUAAGGAUACUGGCUGGGCUAAGCAGGACAGUGGUACAAUUCAGCCAGUGGUGAAUACAUUUAUCAAAUAAUAAAUGGUAGCCAGGGAACCAUUGCACCAGUUUACCAACCAGAGAAAAAAAUCUCUUUAAAGUAAAAACAGGCUUUUCUUCCGGGAAUACGCAAAAAGGAAAUGCUGUUCUGGCAUUUUCAGUGCAGGGUGGGAUAAUUCAGUGGUGGGUUUGUGAAUCAUGUGCAGAUCGCUGUGUUUUCACACCUAUUGUUGUUUCUUAUAAAGUGAUACAUUACAGUCAAAGAGUAAUUUUCUGACUUAUCGCCUAUUGAUAACAUUGUAUUUGGUUGUGUACUUAUGUAUGAGCAUCAAAAUAAAUGGAUUUGUGUGGCCGCUGUUCCUUGUUGUAAUACGUGUUAUUAUGUACUGUAGACAGAGCACAAACCAACUCUUUACAUUUUUGCUGUCUGCUUGCCUUCCUUUCAUGUCACUGAAAAUGAAAUUAAUUUAUUCAAUAAAAACCCACCUUAGCAAGCUGUUGCCCCACUGCCAGCACAACCUUCUUCCCAAUUAUAAACGGUAGAUGGUCCCUAAUGGAAGAAACUACCUCUCACCAACCCGGGAGGGACAGAAAACAGAGCAAAGGAAAAAGGAUCAGCGCUCAGGAGCACAUCUCUUGUCUACUUAACGCCUAUCCACCGACAAAUAUUAGAUAGUGUGAAAAAUACUUUCAACUCCAAGAUCACAACUGCCAUUAUUUUCACAAUCUAAUGUUUACCUUCCUUCCAGCCCUCCUUGCUGGCUUUAGCAGAAUAAGACUAGUAUUGUGUAGUGGUAAAAAAUUGGAAGCAAUAACAUGUUGAAGAAGACAGCCGGUAUUGAUAUCAUAAGAUAAACCACAGCAGCUGCCCGAAUUGGAGUUAUCAGAACAAAUGUUCUCUUUUUCUUCAGAGCCGCUCUUUGCACAACUACAAAUCUGUGGGAUACCGGCAGAUUUCCCAAGAUUUAAGAAGAAUGAUCAUGCAUUUUAAACAAUGUGAAAUUCACCUACGUCCGGAACGAUAGAGGAAAGGAACCAAUCAUCAGCCUUACUUUUUUUAAAGAGCUGUGCAAAGACGCACGUUACAAGAACCUGCUCAGUUCCCUGCGUUCAGCCUUCUCACUUUUAGUGCUACCUUCAGGCACAGGUGCUAGACGGACCUAUCUGAGUGCUGCAGUUCACGCCGCAACCCGAUUCGUACUGAGGCCCGAUGCCCCCUGAGAUUUCCCAACCUGAGGUGUGACUAACAACGAGACUGUGAGAUUAAUCACGGUUUGGAAUAAAAGAAAAACGAGUCAAUACCUUUUCUUUCACUGGGGACCAAUGAGAAGUGCGGCAGGAAAGUGACACACAGACAGGCACACACUGCAAAACUCUGUUGUCGGUAAUCCAAUCUCAACCACCGCAUGCUAAUACAUCACAAUUACCUACUCAGUCUGGGUGGUGCCAUUAGAAAUACAUUGUCUCCAUUACCACAGGGAGUCGGCUUGUGUGCGUGCGCUCAUGUGGGACUGUGCGUGCCCUCACAAUUGACAAUGUCUGUUUGAGAAGUGAGGCGCUCUCCAUCUCCCCACGGACUAUUUCAUAUUUAAUUACAUCUCUGGGACGGCUGUGUGUGUAUGCCACGUCGAUGAAGGCCCCGAUCACAUCGGUUACAUUCGGGUUGUUAGCACCUUCAUUAGAGGGAAGUUGGAAAACAAGCGUCUGGAAGGGUGAGAAGGAAAGAAAAGAACAAAACACCGAUAGAAAAGCACUCGUUGGUGGUUUGAGUUUGGAUUGCCUUCACUGAAAAUUUGAACGAGUAGAUGAUUGGCACAAUAGUGUGAAUAAAAAAAUGAAUGUGGAAAAAUUAAUAUUUUUUAACCGGCUGCACAUUUGAACACCUUUGAACACAGACAGCAAACAAAGUAAGUUCUUGUGUUUUUUUUAACAAUCAAAUCACCCGACUCAACUUUUCAGUGGAACAAUGGAUGAUGGCCAAAUCCUGUUAUCCUGCCCAGCUCUAACCUUUGAAUAACUAAAUCCUUUUAUAAAGUCAAAUUACAUACAGGGUUGCAUUAAGGGGCUCAUUGCAGUUGGUCAAGUUGGUUGGUUACGUACUCUAUAUUCUAUAAUUUGUUCUUCUUCCCUGGUGAUAGCCAGGUGAUAGGCCAAUUCUGGGACUAACUAAUCAUGAAAAUGAACUUGAGAUAUAUAGAGAUAGAGAAAUGUUAAGAAGCUUUGAAGAAAAGCUUUGGUAAUGAAACACAAUUACAGGUGAACAUGAGUUGAACAUGAAGCAUAACACAGGGGUGAUGUUGUAUAAGGUAUGUAUCAGUUGAAUAAAUAUGCUCAAUAUGAAGUACUGGAUAUUGGAGUUCCAGGAAGACCAACUGGUGCCAUUGGCAACCUCAGUUGGACAGUGCCUGGCUGUGGUGAACAGUUACGAGGCUGUUAUCACGGUUAAUUGGGACCCACCGUGCUGGUUUUAAAAAAAUGGAAAAUGUUCCAUCGGACAUUGUUUCUCCUCAAUGGCAGUGGCACCAGCAAGGUUACAGCGUAAGAUGAGAGGAUCAUUAGAUCUGUGAAAGUGUUUCAGCGUACAACCAUGACAUCUUUCAUGCUGUUGUAGAACGAUAGAUACUUAUCCCAUCCUAGAAAAGGGAAUCUCCUUUAACAUUUAUCAGAUCUGAAUAUUUAUUUUGACCUAUAUUCUAUAAAAAGGCACAUCCUCCACAGAGUGGACUGACAAGGGUAAUACAGCUGUGAUGCACGGGCCGUUGGACAAGCAAACACUGCAAAACUUUCCUGCUAGAUCUGCAAAAACGAACCCACGCACGCACUGUUGACAUAGAUCCACUGCAGUGGUAAACCUGAGGUGACGGUGAACGGUGAACGGUGAGGAGCGACAGACCAAGCCAGGAGAAUUAGCACCGCCUAAAAGAACAUCAUUAGUGUUGACACUUAAUUAGGUACAGACUGAAAAGAGAAGCAGAGGAGAGAGGAAGAGUGUCUCAGUCAGUCAGUUUGCAUCCAGUGCGAAUGAUGAAAGCUCAGCGGUACAACUGAGGCGCUCCACCGCCCGUAACCUCAAACCUGUGACAUUAAAGGACACUCCUUUGCAUUUCUAUCACAUGGGUAGAGUCAAUAAUACAAUGUGGCAGCUCCUGCUGGCAUGGUGGCACCCCACUGCCUGCAUCACACGCUGACAAAGUGACUCAAAAAUCAGCACGAAAGGAACACGUGUUUUUACGUUACAAAAGGUAAGCUUGUUGUUGAGGAAAGUCAACAUAUUUAAAAUUUAGAUGAUUAAUGUAGACAAUUGCCAAAAAGAUACAAAAAGCGGAACCGUUGACAAUACAAAGAGGCCUUUUGAUAGCAUUGUUUAAUGAUGAUUGAUGAAGUAACUUACAGCCUUUAUCGCUGUUAAAGAUGCUGAGAAAGCACAUCACUCCUGUGGUUUGUGUGAAAGAGCCACAAUCGCAAUUCAAAUAGAGCAUCAGAGAAAAAUAUAUGCUGAACAUACAGUUUUAAUAUAACUUCAAAAACAUCAUAUUACAUAUUAUAUCGAUAUAAUAUGAUAUUGUGGUGACCCACAAGUAACGCUGGAGAGACAUUCACCAAGGAACUGUACCUUUAACGGAAAGUGUUUUUGAUGUGAGGUUUUAACGUGCAUGUCCGAGGUAGUUCUCACGUGUUGCGAGUUGAUAUGUAUUAUCGAAGUGGAGAGUAAAGCUGACUCAACGCAUCUCCGUCUCCUGUCUCGUCACUUUUCACUCCCCACAAUAUCAUAAAAUUGAAAAUGCAGUUUAGUUGUAAUGAAUGACAAGAAUACAAUUCAAAUUUCAUGAACUGUCAAAUUAAGAGUUUGCUAAGGCUCUCAAAGCCUCAAAAAAAGCCUGGAAAAAAAUGUUGGCACAGAUCCACUCAACUGUGGCGUGACGAGUAUCCCGACAUCCAGCACUUUUUAGCACUCGCCGAGACGACUCUGAAAAUGGGGGAAAUGUAACAGUCAUUUGGAAGAAUGGUUCCAGAGUGCCGGUGCCUGUCAUAGUUAAUUGGUAGCACUCAAUCUUAGCCAUCACUUCUGUUUUUUUGUACUCGACAAAAAGACAACAUGCUGAUGAUGAGCCAGUUACUUCGGCUUGGGGUUAUCUGAGUGUACCGCAAUAACGCUCCAUGGGUUUACGAUGUGCCACUAUAAGCCCAAAGGACACCUUUCACUUUUUUGCUCGUGAUCCGCAAACAGUUUGUUAGUAUAUAUAUAUUUACCUUGUCAUAAGCAGACAUGCAUGCAAACAUUUAUAAUACGACUUUUAAAAAUGACAUUUUGUACUUUUUUGACAUUUUGUAAGUAGAACUUUAUUCUUUCAUCGAACAACAAAAACAUGAACGUUGAAUAAAAAAAUCACCAACGCCAACCCAAAUUUUUUUUGGGGGUUUUUCCCUGAAUCCUUUCAGGUCUAAAUGCUUUCUUCCUGUACCUCAUCAAUGUACUCCUCACUGUCCACUUUCUCAACACCUGACUCGUCGUCAUCUUCUAUUUUUGUGACGGUGACAUGACGUCAUACAAAAUUGCCCCACCAGAAAUUUCAGCCUAAAAUCGCCACUGGUUUAUGUGUAUGUUUCUGGCAGACAAUGUUCACAACCAGCUGCAUUCAGGGUCCAGCUAAGCUAGGCGUGCAUAGUCUUGUUCUCAACUACAUUUAAGUUCCCUGUUAUAUGCUUUUGCAAAAAAACUUAUUUUUUUCAAAAUUCACCAAAUUCCCUAGCCAAAAUUCCUGUGGAAACUUUCCGGAUAUUUACCAGAAACUUUCCGCCCCUUUGCAACCCUAGUCACAACUCAUCGGCCAAUGUUGCACGUUGUCGUGUGCAGGUGUGAGGUCGACACACAGAGAGAGCGAGGAUUUCGUCCGACAAAAUAGAGUCCACUUAAGUCAUCAUCAAAUCUCCGCAGCAGUGCAGAGAAAACGGACAAGAGACAUGUACGGAAGAGAAGGCAGAAAAGAUAAGGAAAAAUACAUCAAUUCGGGACGUAUUGUAAAGCUUCUUGGUGAAUAACUUUCAUCAAGCAGUAGCACAUAUCUUUUGGGUUACGCUGUAAUCUCCGUUUUGAUUUUUUCAAAUCACAAAAGCUGAUUAAUAAUUCAUCCUUGGAUAACUUCAGGGACCAAGAAAAGAUGUCUGUCUUACCUCAACCUUACCGUGCCUCACCGUCCCUGAUGUCUCUCCUUGUCUUGUCAUAUGUGUUCUGUCCUUCUCUGUCCUGUCCUUACCCUCCCUCUUUGGCCUCACCCUGUCCUGCCCCGACAUCACCAUGUCUCACCUAGUUAAAUCUUUUCCUUAUUUGGCUUUGAUUUGAUUGUACAGCUCCUACCCCGCAGCAGUCGAACAUCAGUCUAAAUUUACUAUCUGGAAAAUACCAUGACUAAAAGAAACUGAUUAACAGAGAGGACUAUUAGCAACACCAAUUUCUUGGAACUAUGAUACAGAUGGCAUUGUUCCACACUGUCAUGGGGAAUGCUGAGCUGCUAACGUGACAAAAGUUCUGUGAUAAGAUUGCCGGCUUGAGGACACACAGCGGGAACAAGAGCUGAUUUAUCUGCAUAAUGUGGCUCUACUUAGGCUUCAAAACCUCCAUAAACAUUUACUGGAAGUCAGGUUGGCACAAGCAGCGAUUGGUUCUUCUGCCAAGCCGUUGUCAGACCAAACUCGCUGAUGCAUUAAGUAGAUCAGGAAACAUUUGCAUACUGGUCUACAUAUAAUUUAAACUGGCGCGCUGUCACGCAAACAGGACGUUUACCCGGGCCUGUGGGUCUCGCCUGAAGUGAACUCUGUGUGUUUCUCUUAAGCACAUGUUGACCUUGAGGAAGCUACAAGAACUCAUGUGAAGUUCAAAUUCAGGCAGGUACGCUGCCGAGACGCCACAUCGAUCCGCAAGGGCUCGGAACCAGCCAGCUGCCAGCUGAUCGUCAAUCACCAGCGACCCGCUGAUCGGCCUCAUACAUCCAAGUAGGACGAAAUUGACACGGAUCUUAUUAAAAUUUAAAGUAUUUAGAAUUCACAUCAAAUCCUUCAUAUUACCACAUACAAAGCGUUUACACGGUUUUUCUGUAGAAAAAUCCAUGCGGUUCCUUCCUGUUAUAGAAUGUCUGCAAAAAUCACUUGCUUUAAGUCCAGGCUGUCAGUUCAAUAGCGUUUGGAUGGCAGGGCUGUUACAGACCGGGCAACAAUGGACAAGAGCAGAUUUUUUUUACUAUAAGAGGUGCACACACAUAACUCGUUGUGUUACCCUACUCCUCCAUCACUCCGGUCCCAGUUGCCGAAAAUUGAUUUAACGCUUCUUGAGAUCAUGCUUUCAUUGAACCAAGUCUUUCAUCCUCCCCUUCAACUAUUCUCCCUCUGCUCUCCUUCUAGCGAUUUAGCCUUUUAGGGUUUUCUUGUUAAAAAAUGGUCUUUAAAGCUUGAGGGCUAAAAGGUGAAUAAAUGCAACGCUUGGUGAACUGCCUGUGAAGGACAGUCCAAAUACAAGAGGGGGUUGGAGUGAAAGAGAAAGAAUUGUAGACAUCACAGGGCAGAAAAAGUGCAAUGAAAAAAUAAACAUAGGGACAGAAAUUGAAAGAGAAGUCGAUAUAGAUUUAGCAAAUAUAAGUGUAUAAAAGAGUGGAAGAGGAGAGGAUAAAAGCUGUCGCUGCCCGUCACACUUCAGCACUUUGUCGAACUGCCUUCAAGGUCCAGACAUAAAAUGGUGUGAAUCAGGAAGAAAACAGGGAAUCGAGGGCUCCAGGGAAAUAGAAGAUUAACAGGAAAUUGCAGCGUGAAACUGACUUAGAAAGUUUGAACCAUAAACAGACUCAGAGAACCUGACAAAUACAACUUUGGAGCGUAAUAGGACACUGAAAUAUUCAAGAACGUUGCUUUGCCCACAGCAUGAAAUAAGUAUGAGACUGAUGCAUUUGGGUAUUCUGCAUUAAAAUACUACACUAAACACAGAAAAAAUUUCUGUUUGUUUGUGUCGUCUGUUAGCAGAUAUGCACUUCCUGUGGUUGCGGUAGACGACAAAACUAAAGAAACAUUUAUUUAUCCUAUUAUUAAAAUGAUUGCAAAAGGCGUUAUUUAUUUAAGUUGACUGUUAAUGGCCUCUGAAGGGUAGUAAGGUUUCCCUUAGCCAGCCCAAACAAGAUGUUUUACCAUGUUUCACCAUUUUUGCAGUAAAGAAUACUGUCGUUUGUACAGAAAAAGAGGCUCGGUCAAGUAGAGACAGUCUCUUAACCGAAGGUUAGCUUCCAGACUUUAUUACUGUGUUCAAUGCAACAGCAGCAUCUAAAAAAAAAGUUCUAAAUAAUAUCGAACUUUUACACUGUUCAGGUUAAAUUUGAUCCAUUUUGACAUUUGGCAGCAGGAAAAAUACCCUAAACCUAAUUAUUUUGGCCUGAAAUGUUAUGACCAAAUUACACAUAAAUAUUAAAAAUUGUUCAUAUCUUAUACAAAUUUCACCCGUAUCUAUUGAGAUGGAUUUUAGAUCCACCAGUGUAUUUUUAAGAGUACUUUUUAUAACAUCAUAAGGGUUAGCUGCCAUUACAGUGACUGAAACCAUAACAGCGGGAUUUGGUGCAACAAGACGAGGAGGUUGGAUGUGAUUUUGGAGGAUGUGUCAGAGCAGGAACCACUGAUUACAGCCCCUCUGGGGGUGAGGUGCAGGCAGACGUUUGUGUUGAAAAACUGCAUGCAUGGUCUUCACCUCAACAUAAAAAAUGAUGAUAUUGAUGAUGAAGUGUUUUUCUCCAAAAUCGAAUGCUGUAAAGACUUUAAAAAAUACACUCUCCUUGCUUUUUGAAGCAUUUUUCAAGGAUUGAUGAUACACGUAUUAAUGAAACAUGGGCUAUUAUAAAUAGAUCGGUUUAAAGUUUGGUAUGAAGACUUACUAUAAGGGAAUUCUUGUCCUGGGUCAAAAAAGAUUAAACAAUAUGUACCGGCCAGCGUGUGGCGAAACCCACACAGGAUGUUUGUUUUUUUGGCUGGUUCCUGUGCAACAAGUUAAGUAUUGAUGGCGGACAUAUCCCCUUAUUUGAGAAAUGUCUAGCUAAGAGAAAAGGCGAGGAUUCGGGACAGUUCCUACGCCAGCAGAUUUAAAUGAUAUCUACGCAUCUGCAGAUUCAUCUAGCAUGUAACAGGAUUUUCAGUUUAAGGAAUGGCCACAGCUGAUAUGAAGGAUGGCGAGAGAUAACAGAGGCAUGGAGCAAGCUGUUACGCACUGCACAGAGACAAGGGAGCUCUGAUACAAUCUACUCGUCUCUUGUCUUCUCCAUAUAUCUACUACACCUGCUUUUUUCCCCCCAAUGGGCUAUAUCUGUAUUUCCAACGAAUCGCGACUGCAAAAUGAUUCAUAGCACAGAUUGAAUUUCGCUGAAUCAAAAAGUAGUGGGCAUCCACUUUCUUCUGACGUUUCUCAUUUUAACAUAAGAGGUCGUGCAUUUCCACACCAAACAGCAACCAUGACCCAAGUCUCACAUCUUCUUACUAAAACAUAAACAGGUGAGAAAUAAAU
ensembl:lncRNA